rnacentral:rRNA from 1 species
UCCAGACUCCUACGGGAGGCAGCAGUCGGGAAUAUUGCGCAAUGGAGGAAACUCUGACGCAGUGACGCCGCGUGCAGGAAGAAGGUUUUCGGAUUGUAAACUGCUUUAGACAGGGAAGAUAAUGACAGUACCUGUAGAAUAAGCUCCGGCUAACUACGUGCCAGCAGCCGCGGUAAUACGUAGGGAGCAAGCGUUAUCCGGAUUUAUUGGGUUUAAAGGGUGCGUAGGCGGAUCGUUAAGUCAGUGGUCAAAUGGGGGGCCCCACCCCCUCCCCGCCAUUGAAACUGGCGUUCUUGAGUGGAAGAGAAGUAUGCGGAAUGCGUGGUGUAGCGGUGAAAUGCAUAGAUAUCACGCAGAACCCCGAUUGCGAAGGCAGCAUGCCGGCUUCCGACUGACGCUGAAGCAUGAAAGCGUGGGGAUCGAACAGGAUUAGAUACCCUAGUA